CCAAUGAGGUUGGUUUCCAAGUCAGGACCGAGUCCAAAUGAAAGACACAAUAGAAUCUUCUUCAAGACCACUUAGUUACCUGUUCAUAAUGUAUACAAUGC